UGCAUGUCUAAGUAUGAACAUUUAUACUGUGUAACUGCGUACGGCUCAUUAAACCAGUUAUAGUUUAUUUGAUAUUCCCCUACUACUCGGAUACCCGUAGUAAUUCUAGAGCUAAUACGUGCGUCAAACGGCAUAUGCCGUGUCAUUAUUAGAUAGAAACCAAUGCGCUUCGGCGGUAUUGUGGUGAGUCAUGAUAGUUUAGCGGAUCGCAUGGCCUCGCGCCGGCGGUGGAUCAUUCAAGUUUCUGCCCUAUCAGCUUUGGAUGGUAGGGUAUUGGCCUACCAUGGCUUUAACGGGUAACGGAGAAUUAGGGUUCGAUUCCGGAGAGGGAGCCUGAGAGACGGCUACCACAACCAAGGUAGGCAGCAGGCGCGUAAAUUACCCAAUCCUGAUUCAGGGAGGUAGUGACAAAAAAUAACUUAGUCGGGCCGUUUUCGGUCUGACUUUAGGAAUGAGAACAAUUUAAAUCCCUUAUCGAGGAUCAAUUGGAGGGCAAGUCUGGUGCCAGCAGCCGCGGUAAUUCCAGCUCCAAUAGCGUAUAUUAAUGUUGUUGCAGUUAAAAAGCUCGUAGUUGGAUUUCUGGUCGGAGCGCUAGGCCGGCUCCGCAAGGGGUCGCGCUGUGUUUCUUCGUCCAUCCUCAGGGGAACCGGCGCUGGUAUUCAUUUAUCGGCGUCGGGACGCCUGUCGUUUACUGUGAACAAAUUAGAGUGUUCAAAGCAAGGUGUACUUGAAUACAUUAGCAUGGAAUAAUAAGAUAGGACUUUGGUGGUUCUUUUUGAUAUUUUGUUGGUUUGCACGCC
rnacentral:rRNA from 1 species